AACCCCAAAACACUAAACAAAAAUCUGUAAUUGAUUACAGGUUCAACAGAGCUGUUGCUUUUCAAGAUUUAAUUUGGUGCCAUCUUGUGAAGUUUUGUUUUUGUUAAACCUAACAGUGGAAGCAAUGUGACUGAUAGCAAUGUGAAUUGACAAAUUUUGGCAGGAUGCUUUGGCUGAAAUGGCUGCCAGAAACCCACACACAGCAAGAAGAUGACAGGAUGGAUGUUUUCUGCUUACCUGGAUCAUGGUUUUCCAAAGCCUCUGUUUUGGCUGUGUUCAGUCUUGUGUGUCCUUAAAAAUUCAGAAAAUAAUCACAAGCAUAUUUCAAAGUGCAUAUCUCACAGAAAAGGACUGAUUUUAUUUACCAUUAGCAGACACUACAGAAUGUUUAGAUAGGAACAGGCAAAGAAACAAUUUAAUGUUUAUAAUUUGGUGUCUACUUUAGCCACUUAUGAUGGACAGCUAAAUUUCAUGGAUAAUCAGUGAACGGAUGCACCUUCAGAUACUGAUUUAGAGCCAGAGAUCAUUUUAGGAGACUGUCUAGCAAAUGAAUGCCUUGAUUUGGUGUGAAAUGCUUCUUGAAACUGCAGGCAAUUUUCAUUGCGUCCCUUACUGAAAUCCAGAAGCCUCAGUUUUGUUACGUACUUUUGAAGAUAUAAGUUCUUAAAAACUCAAGUUAAUAAAUGAAGCCAUUAUUGCAGCUGGACUCCUGGCCAAUUUAGUAACAAUUUAUUUCACCUGAAAAAUGUUUGUGGAAAAUAAGCAAAAAUGGUACUGAGCUAUAUUUCUCCCUUAAAUAAACCAAGGAUUUGCAUGUACUUUAAAAAUACAUCCACUCAGAAACUUAGUUUUUAUUGAGAAUGGCAAUGUUUGGAUCCAUUUUAAGAAAAGUUAUACAUGAAUAACUUUCUGAGAGGAGAAUACAUGUUUUUUGUCUGUAAUCACUGCUUUUAAUUUUCUUAGUGCAAUUUUCACUGUUGUUUUGUCUCCAUACAUUUUUAUUUUUGUUCCUCCAGACAGGAUCCUGCCACAAGCAUUUUUAAAUCAGACAUUAAUAGCAUAGUUCACAGUUGUUACUGCCAGUGCUCAAACACAAAUACUGCAUUUGUGUUCGGAGGAAAAAGCAAACAUCAGAUCUUAAUUAUGUGCAUUUGUGCUUUCUUCUGUGCUUAAACAAUCUGGCAUAAGGAGUUUACAUCACUAUUGGUUAACUGUAGUCUGUAUCUAUCAGGAUCACCAGCUGUAUGAUUUGCCUUGGUGGCGUUUUUGUCCCAUUUUUUGCUUGUUGUUUUUAAAUGGCAGAAUUGCCAGGGAAACUUGAAGCUUUAGGAUUCCUUUAUCCAUAAGAAAAUUGCUAGGAGAGAUUUUUUUAUUGAAUGCUUAACGAAAAUAAUUUAUUUGUAGACUGUUUUCAAACAGAUUUGGGUUUCUUUAUUGGAUUUAGUAUGAUUGAGCAGGCUGAGCAUUAGAGCACAGAUCAGAAUUGGGCAGUCCUGUCUUCAUUGCUGGGACCUGCACUACAACCUCUGCUUGUGCUUCUGUUUCUGAGCAGAAAGAUGAUAAGUGGCUUGUCAGCUCUUUGGAGCAUGGACUGAGUUUUUGUCUGUCACUGUAGGACUGUCUUCCUGGCAUUUUUAGGCACAUUUCUCAUGAUAAGUUUCAAAACUUGAAAAAUGUACAUAGGUCUUUCAGGCUUUGGAUUGCUGGUCAGUCUAAAGCAUUUUUGAGUAGUGGAAGGAAGUUUAGUCUUUAUGAAAUCAGCUCAUUUUUUUCCUUGCUCUUUCAUGCAGAACACUCAGCAAGAAGACCAAGAGGCCCAUCUUUGGAACAUGAAUUAUUAUUUAGGUGUUACUUUAUAGUAUGGACAAUGAAGCUGAUGUGGGUGGAUAAAAGGGGAUGAAACACAAGUAAUGAAACACAUCUAGUCUGUUUUCAGUAAAUACCUUUGUGUAUGCAAAGACCUUUAUUUUUAGCACCCUGAAAUAAAGGAACGGAAAAAAUAGCAAUGUUAAAGGAAAUUAAGUGGGUACAUAUUAGAUAUUUUGAUUAAGAAGUCACCUGGAGACUAGGAACUUUGAGAAAGAAAUAUAAACUGAACUUAAAUACUAAUGGGGCAAGUGGAGGCAUUAUCAGUCCAGAAACUUUUAAACGAGUCAGAUGUGUUGCCAACAGCACAGCUUUAGAAAAGCUAGAACCUGAUCUAAAUUUAUUUUAUAGAUAUGUAAGAGAAUGUAGAAGUGGUGAGAAAUUUUGUUCUGACAAAUCUGUUUUUCUAAUGAUUAUGGGUAUUGGAGCCAACUCAUAAGUAAUGAGGUGCAAUAUGGCUAUGGACACUCAAGAAUUGGCUACACAAAGAGAAAGAGCAAGUGCCACCCAAGGCAGCAGCACAGAGAAUGCUUCCUGGGUGUCUGUCCUCAGCCAGCAGAGGAAUGCUUCAAAGGAUUGGCCCACGACCAUGGAAAGAAGACUGCUUGGAUGGCACUAGCUGGAAUCACUCUGGAGGACUAUCAGUCUACAGAAUGGUGCUCUCACCCGUGAUUGAGGCAGUCAACAGAACUGAAAUACUGUGUAUCUAUUUUUCCUACAAUGAGUUUUCUUCUUGUGUUUAAACAUUAUCCAUGCAUUUUGCACUGCGACAGAAAAUGUCAUUGUAGACCUGAUUCCAGUGUUACAGUAGUGCAACUCAACUGACUUCUGCUUAUGGGUGUGAAAAGUGAGAUCAGACCAGGGUCACUUCUCCAAGUGUUGUUCUCACUAUGCUGUGUCACUCAGUAAACAACAAGAUACUGCCAGUAGCCCUCUAGCAUCAAUUUGGAGGGAGGUGCAUCAAUUCACCCUCUCCUUGUUCUUCCAUUCUACUUGCAGUUACCACACCUCAGCAUCUGAAACACAUUGAAACAGUUUCUCCGAAUUGAAACAGAAAACAGGGCUUGUGUGUAGGAUAGUACCUGGUGAGUUUGCAGAGUUCCUCUUUAAUGGCAACCACUGUAACUUUUAAGUUCUUAUAACCGUUUCUAAACUACUUUUA